GACAGAGGGUGCAAACGUUGCUCGGAAUUACUGGGCGUAAAGCGCGUGUAGGCGGGUUUCCAAGUCAGAUGUGAAAUCCCUGGGCUCAACCCAGGAACUGCAUUUGAAACUGGGAGUCUUGAGUAUCGGAGAGGAAAGUGGAAUUCCUGGUGUAGCGGUGAAAUGCGUAGAUAUCAGGAGGAACACCGGUGGUGUAGACGGCUUUCUGGACCGUAACUGACGCUGAGACACGAAAGCGUGGGUAGCAAACAGG
rnacentral:rRNA from 1 species